rnacentral:misc_RNA from 1 species
AAGUCGUAACAAGGUUUCCGUAGGUGAACCUGCGGAAGGAUCAUUAUUGAAUUCAUAUAUGCGAAGGAGUUGUGCUGGUAAUGAAUAUUGCAUGUGCACACUCUGGAGCUAUAUAAUAUAUACACCUGUGAACCAACUGUAGUCAGGAGAAAUCCUAACUAUGAUCACCCUAUAUAACUCUUAUUGUAUGUUACAUAGAACGAUCUCAUAUUGAAACUUUGUUUUCUGACAAGUUUCUCUUAAUUAAAAAAUAUACAACUUUCAACAACGGAUCUCUUGGCUCUU